rnacentral:rRNA from 1 species
UACGUAGGGGGCAAGCGUUGUCCGGAAUCAUUGGGCGUAAAGCGCGCGUAGGCGGCCCGGUAAGUCCGUUGUGAAAGUCAAAGGCUCAACCUUUGAACGCCGAUGGAUACUGCCGGGCUAGAGUCCGGAAGAGGCGAGUGGAAUUCCUGGUGUAGCGGUGGAAUGCGCAGAUAUCGGGAGGAACACCGAUGGCGAAGGCAGCUCGCUGGGACGGUACUGACGCUGAGGCGCGAAAGCGUGGGGAGCGAACAGG